GACGAACGCUGGCGGCGUGCUUAACACAUGCAAGUGGAGCGACGAAACGGACUUCGGUCCGUGGCAGAGCCGCGAACGGGUGAGUAACACGUGGGUAACCUACCCCGAUGACCGGGACAACCCGAGGAAACUCGAGCUAAUACCGGAUGUUCUCUUCUCCUUCAAGGGAGUUGAGCAAAGAUAGCUUUUGCCUUCGCAUCGGGACGGGCCCGCGGCCCAUUAGCUUGUUGGUGGGGUAACGGCCUACCAAGGCGACGAUGGGUAGCUGGUCUGAGAGGACGAUCAGCCACACUGGGACUGAGACACGGCCCAGACUCCUACGGGAGGCAGCAGUGGGGAAUCUUGCGCAAUGCGCGAAAGCGUGACGCAGCAACGCCGCGUGGGGGAAGAAGGCCUUCGGGUUGUAAACCCCUUUCAGUUGGGACGAAGCUUCCAGAGUUAAUAGCUCUGUGGAGUGACGGUACCUUCACAAGAAGCCCCGGCUAACUACGUGCCAGCAGCCGCCGUAAGAC
rnacentral:rRNA from 1 species